rnacentral:rRNA from 1 species
GAUGAACGCUGGCGGCGUGCUUAACACAUGCAAGUCGAACGAAGCGAGUUAGAUGAAGUUUUCGGAUGGAAUUUAAUGAGCUUAGUGGCGGACGGGUGAGUAACGUGUGGGCAACCUGCCCUUUACUGGGGAAUAAUCAUUAGAAAUGAUGACUAAUACCGCAUGUCGUCACCGGAGGGCAUCCUCUGGUGAAAAAAGGAUUUAUUCGGUAAAGGAUGGGCCCGCAUCUGAUUAGCUAGUUGGUGAGAUAACAGCCCACCAAGGCGACGAUCAGUAGCCGACCUGAGAGGGUGAUCGGCCACAUUGGGACUGAGACACGGCCCAAACUCCUACGGGAGGCAGCAGUGGGGAAUAUUGCACAAUGGGCGAAAGCCUGAUGCAGCGACGCCGCGUGAGCGAAGAAGUAUUCGGUAUGUAAAGCUCUAUCAGCAGGGAAGAAAAUGACGGUACCUGACUAAGAAGCACCGGCUAAAUACGU